rnacentral:rRNA from 1 species
GAUGAACGCUAGCUACAGGCUUAACACAUGCAAGUCGAGGGGCAGCAUGGUCUUAGCUUGCUAAGGCCGAUGGCGACCGGCGCACGGGUGAGUAACACGUAUCCAACCUGCCGUCUACUCUUGGACAGCCUUCUGAAAGGAAGAUUAAUACAAGAUGGCAUCAUGAGUCCGCAUGUUCACAUGAUUAAAGGUAUUCCGGUAGACGAUGGGGAUGCGUUCCAUUAGAUAGUAGGCGGGGUAACGGCCCACCUAGUCUUCGAUGGAUAGGGGUUCUGAGAGGAAGGUCCCCCACAUUGGAACUGAGACACGGUCCAAACUCCUACGGGAGGCAGCAGUGAGGAAUAUUGGUCAAUGGGCGAGAGCCUGAACCAGCCAAGUAGCGUGAAGGAUGACUGCCCUAUGGGUUGUAAACUUCUUUUAUAAAGGAAUAAAGUCGGGUAUGGAUACCCGUUUGCAUGUACUUUAUGAAUAAGGAUCGGCUAACUCCGUGCCAGCAGCCGCGGUA